GAAACCCGGUGAUCUAGCCAUGGGCAGGUUGAAGGUUGGGUAACACUAACUGGAGGACCGAACCGACUAAUGUUGAAAAAUUAGCGGAUGACCUGUGGCUGGGGGUGAAAGGCCAAUCAAACCGGGAGAUAGCUGGUUCUCCCCGAAAGCUAUUUAGGUAGCGCCUCGUGAAUUCAUCUCCGGGGGUAGAGCACUGUUUCGGCUAGGGGGCCAUCCCGGCUUACCAACCCGAUGCAAACUGCGAAUACCGGAGAAUGUUAUCACGGGAGACACACGGCGGGUGCUAACGUCCGUCGUGAAGAGGGAAACAACCCAGACCGCCAGCUAAGGUCCCAAAGUCAUGGUUAAGUGGGAAACGAUGUGGGAAGGCCCAGACAGCCAGGAUGUUGGCUUAGAAGCAGCCAUCAUUUAAAGAAAGCGUAAUAGCUCACUGGUCGAGUCGGCCUGCGCGGAAGAUGUAACGGGGCUAAACCAUGCACCGAAGCUGCGGCAGCGACACUGUGUGUUGUU
rnacentral:rRNA from 1 species